CGCGCACCCCCCUACAAAUGACAAAAAGAGAUUUAUAAAAAAUUACUAUUUAUAAUUCACUUACAGAGAUCUAAAUGAAAAGUGAUCAUUAGAUAAUGAAUGAGGAUAAAUAUAAUAAUGUGUAAUUAAAGUAAGGAACACAUGUACCAAUUCUAUUGCAUAAAUUUUUUUGUGAGGACUAUAUAUCUUAUCCUAUUCUAGCUUAUAUAGAAGUAUAAUAUUAAAAUUACUAUAAUAACUUUGUGAGGUCUAGAAAAUUUUGGUAUUCAUAUAUUAGGAAUAAAAAAAAUUAUAUGUAAAACAUAAUAGAGGGAAAAACAAUAAAUAUUUCGUGAUUGCUAAAGUAGAGAAAUAAAAAAUGACUA
rnacentral:lncRNA from 1 species